rnacentral:rRNA from 1 species
GGACUACUGGGGUUUCUAAUCCCGUUUGCUCCCCUAGCUUUCGCGCCUCAGCGUCAGAAGAGAUCCAGCCUGCCGCUUUCGCCACCGGCGUUCCUUCCGAUAUCAACGCAUUUCACCGCUCCACCGGAAGUUCCACAGGCCCCUACCUCCCUCAAGACAGCCAGUAUCCACGGCAAUUUUCCGGUUGAGCCGAAAGAUUUCACCACAGACUUGACUGCCCGCCUACGCGCCCUUUAAGCCCAGUGAUUCCGAACAACGUUUGCACGGUUCGUCUUACCGCGGCUGCUGGCAC